CACGGGCAACACCGGUAGCGGAAAUGGCGACAGACAUGUAACCAAAAAAAAUGUUUCCCUGGAAGGGGAUGGACGGCUGCAACUACACGCUAAUCUACAUUUGUGCCACAUUAUAAUAAGAAAUAUGUUCACUUCUCCAGGAUCCUGUUCUGUGCCACUUGUUGCCUAGGGCAACCGCCAACGCUGGUGGGACCAGAGGCAGACAGGGACAGGUUAACGGGGCGGACAGCGAGACUCGCAGCAACCCCGUUUUGACCUAUGGGCUAGAAGAACAGGUGGAGACUGCCGUGAUCUGUUUCCCUACAUAAAGAUGGCUGCGGUGGAACCAAUAGCUUCAAGGCGCCUGCGCAGGCAGAAGCUUACACGCAACCUAGCAACAACCAGCGGAUGUUUUAGCCGCGACGUCAUCUCCGCCUCCAGAACGAACACUGACAGGAUCGGCGUCCUGUCGCCAUAACACAUGGCUUUUGUUUACAUGCUGUCUCCUGGAUCGUUCUGGGAUCCAUCAUGGACUCUACUACAGUGGGAAAAGACGGGUUGAAGACAAUCACUUCCUGCUGAAUAGUUUGCACUGCAACAAAAGCCAAAAAGUGUGUCACUAUUGUAGAUCACAGAUAGGUAGUCAAGUAGAAUGGAAGGAUUAGACGCCACCUAUGUUCAUGGACAAUUCUGACGCUUCGCCAUGGGACCUGGUUCUAUCUUUCCCAGAAGAAUAAUCCCUUAGGACAAUGGUCGGAUAAUGCGGUCGUGUCACGUCACAUACAAUACAGUGAUAC